GACGAACGCUGGCGGCGUGCUUAACACAUACAAGUCGAACGAGAAAGCCCUUCGGGGUAAGUACAGUGGCGAACGGGUGAGUAACACGUGGGCAACCUGCCCCAGAGAGCGGGACAACCCGGGGAAACCCGGGCUAAUACCGCAUGAUGCGUCUCCACUUAAGUGGAGCCGCCAAAUGGUAGCUUCGGCCUCCGCCCUGGGAUGGGCCCGCGCCGGAUUAGCUAGUUGGUUGGGGUAACGGCCCACCAAGGCGACGAUCCGUAGCUGGUCUGAGAGGACGAUCAGCCACACUGGGACUGAGACACGGCCCAGACUCCUACGGGAGGCAGCAGUGGGGAAUCUUGCGCAAUGGGCGAAAGCCUGACGCAGCAACGCCGCGUGGGGGAAGAAGGCCUUCGGGUUGUAAACCUCUUUCAGUAGGGACGAAGCUUCCGGGGUUAAUAGCCUACGGGGUGACGGUACCUACAGAAGAAGCCCCGGCUAACUACGUGCCAGCCGCCGCCGUAA
rnacentral:rRNA from 1 species